rnacentral:rRNA from 1 species
CAGCCGCCACGGUAAUACAGAGGGUGCGAGCGUUAAUCGGAUUUACUGGGCGUAAAGCGUGCGUAGGCGGCUUUUUAAGUCGGAUGUGAAAUCCCUGAGCUUAACUUAGGAAUUGCAUUCGAUACUGGGAAGCUAGAGUAUGGGAGAGGAUGGUAGAAUUCCAGGUGUAGCGGUGAAAUGCGUAGAGAUCUGGAGGAAUACCGAUGGCGAAGGCAGCCAUCUGGCCUAAUACUGACGCUGAGGUACGAAAGCAUGGGGAGCAAACAGGAUUAGAUACCCCAGUAGUCCCUGUCUCUUAUUA